rnacentral:rRNA from 1 species
AGCGAACGCUGGCGGCAGGCCUAAUACAUGCAAGUCGAGCGCACCUUCGGGUGAGCGGCGGACGGGUGAGUAACGCGUGGGAAUGUGCCCUUUGGUACGGAACAACUGAGGGAAACUUCAGCUAAUACCGUAUGUGCCCUUCGGGGGAAAGAUUUAUUGCCAUUGGAGCAGCCCGCGUUGGAUUAGGUAGUUGGUGGGGUAAAGGCCCACCAAGCCGACGAUCCAUAGCUGGUCUGAGAGGAUGAUCAGCCACACUGGGACUGAGACACGGCCCAGACUCCUACGGGAGGCAGCAGUAGGGAAUCUUGCGCAAUGGGCGAAAGCCUGACGCAGCCAUGCCGCGUGAAUGAUGAAGGUCUUAGGAUUGUAAAAUUCUUUCAC